rnacentral:rRNA from 1 species
GACGAACGCUGGCGGCGUGCUUAACACAUGCAAGUCGAACGGUGAAGCCCUACCUUUCUGGAGUGGAUCAGUGGCGAACGGGUGAGUAACACGUGAGCAACCUGCCCUUGACUCUGGAAUAAGCUCUGGAAACUGCGGCUAAUACUGGAUACGAGAAGCUUCUGCAUGGGCACGUUCUGGAAGGUUUUGCGGUUGGGGAUGGGCUCGCGGCUUAUCAGCUUGUUGGUGGGGUAAUGGCUGACCAAGGCGACGACGGGUAGCCGGCCUGAGAGGGUGACCGGCCACACUGGGACUGAGAUACGGCCCAGACUCCUACGGGAGGCAGCAGUGGGGAAUAUUGCACAAUGGGCGGAAGCCUGAUGCAGCGACGCCGCGUGAGGGAUGACGGCCUUCGGGUUGUAAACCUCUUUCAGCAGGGAAGAAGCGAAAGUGACGGUACCUGCAGAAGAAGCACCGGCUAACUACGUG